UACAGAGGUCCCAAGCGUUGUUCGGAUUCACUGGGCGUAAAGGGUGCGUAGGCGGUUGGAUAAGUCUGAUGUGAAAUCUUCGAGCUCAACUCGGAAACUGCGUCGGAUACUAUUCGGCUAGAGGAAUGGAGGGGAGACUGGAAUACUUGGUGUAGCAGUGAAAUGCGUAGAUAUCAAGUGGAACACCAGUGGCGAAGGCGAGUCUCUGGACAUUUCCUGACGCUGAGGCACGAAAGCCAGGGGAGCAAACGGG
rnacentral:rRNA from 1 species